AUGGUCAGUUGACCCCUUAAGGAGUUAUUGCCCUUUAUAGUCAAUUUUUAACCAUUUUUCGUAAAUCUUAGUGAUCUUUUACAAAAAUCUUCUCCUCUGAAACUACUGGGCCUAAAUUAAUCCAAACUUGGCCACAAUCAUCUUUGGGGUAUGUAGUUUAAAAAUGUGUCCGGUGACCCGGCCAUCCAACCAAGAUGGCUGCCAUGGCUAAAUAUAGGACAUAGGGGUAAAAUGCAGUUUUUGGCUUAUAACUCAAAAAUCAAGCAUUUUAGAGCAAAUCUGACGGAGUGAAAUUGUUUAUCAUGUCAAGAUCUAUCUGCCCUGAAAUUUUCAGAUGGAUCCGACAACCGGUUGUUGGGUUGCUGCCCCAUAAUUGGUAAUUUAAGAAAAUUUGACGUUUUUUGUUAUUAUCUUGAAUAUUAUUAUAGAUAGAGAUAAACUGUAAACAGCAAUAAUGUACAGCAAAGUAAGACCUAAAGAUAAGUCAAACAUGACAAAAAUGGUCAGUUGACCCCUAAGGAGUUAUUGUCCUUUAUAGUCAAUUUUUAACAAUUUUCAUAAAAUUUGUAAAUUUUUACUAACAUUUUCCACUGAAACUACUGGGCCAAGAUCAUUAUAGAUAGAGAUAAUUGUAAGGAGCAAGAAUGUUCAGUAAAGUAAGAUGUACAAACACAUCACCAUCACCUAAACACAAUUUUGUCAUGAAUCCAUCUGCUUCCUUUGUUUAAUAUUCACAUAUACCAAGGUGAGCGACACAGGCUCUUUAGAGCCUCUAGUUUUUUUAUAUAAUUAAGGCUGUAUGUUUUCUCGUUUGAAUUGUUUUACAUUGUCAUAUCGGGGCCUUUUAUAGCUGACUAUGCGGUAUAGGCUUUGCUCAUUGUUGAAGGCGGUACGGUGACUUAUAAAUUUUAAUUUCUGUGUCAUUUUG
rnacentral:lncRNA from 1 species